UAAAUGACCUGGUUCCAGAGAUCAUGUGCUAAGUUUAGACAUGCAUUUAAAAGGAGGGUGUUGCAAGAUAAAUACUGUAAUUAGAGAAACGAAGUCUAUUUCGAAGCCUAAUUUAGCAAACAAAGCAGUUGCACCUACUGCUCAAAAACUUUAAUGUCGAUCAUAUCUGCACAUACCGAUCUAUAUCCGAUGUAACUUUGCUAAACGUUUAAAGUAGCGAGAGAGAUGGGUAGCCGUCUCAGUGAUUGGAACUAUCUGCAUUUCAGGGUACUGGCGGAUUGGCUGGGAGACUGUAGAAAUGUCCCAUUUCCAGCCCUACGAGAUCAUUUUAAUUAAAGCUGAAGAAGAACUUCAGUUAACAGGCUGUUGGCAAACUGUCUCUGGGAGCGAUCCAGCAGCAGGUCCCCAAGGGAUUAGGUGGAAAAGUGUGCAGGGAAAGUAUCCCUCUUUCUGUCUUUUACACGGAGCAUCUAUAACUUUUCACUGGACGGUUGCACAGGUGGUUUCUAGGCUAAUCCACUUCCAUAGGACCCUGCUGCAGCCGCUGUGUGUCGGAAAAGACCCAAAGAUCUGGCAUGCACUUACUAGCGAGAGGAAAUUACCUUGCUUGCGAAGUGGUAAUGUUGGCUGGGAACUGAGAGUGGCGCAUGCAAAACAACCUCACUGUCAAUGCACAAGGGAGGGUAGGGUGAAUGCAGAGAGUUGUGCAAAACCUCCCUCGGUCGCAGCAGAAUCGAAACCUUCGCUGCAAAAGGGCCGAAGUGUCAACAGUGAAACCAAAGCGCCAGGAAAGGUGCGUCUGUCUCUGUCAGCAAAAGCGCCGUGAGCCAGGGAUCAACCUGCGGGCUGUGUUCCCAGGGAGCGCCCUGCUUUGAGAGGCAGAUGCGACCGGGGCAAGCAGCGAUCCGGGCUGACUGCGAGCUUUGCCAAGAGCUGGGGCGUGAGGAGAGGGGGACGUUUGCAGGCUGCAGCGGAUCGAAGUGGAGGCUCCCCGGUCAACCAGGGGAGAGACCGGGACUGGGGCUGCGAGAACCACUCUAGGGGGCAGACCAGCAGGAGCACCGGCAACACUCUCAGCUGUGUGUGUCUGUGUGUGUGUGUGUGUGCUGCUAGCAGCCCAUUGGCUGGGGGCUGCCUGAUGUCAUGGCUGGGUGUUCCUAUAAGCUCCCCAACACAUAACGGGCUCAGGACACUUGUAGACAGGACUCCUGGCAGGGCGGGAGCCGCCCAGGCUGCAGCUGCAGAAGGGGAGGGAGGAGGCUAAGAGAGGAACAAACAAAUGCAAAUUCCUGACCAACAAACAGUCAACAGGUCUAACUGCAAGAGGCCCCCAGCCCUGCCAAGCCACCGCCGGCAUUUCUCGGGCGGCUGCCAAGUUUGGAUCUCCUACAGCGCGCGGGUGACUGCUCCCGGACACCCGCCAGGCGCAGCGGGCACCGAGCGCGGGAGACAGCUGGCGUGGAAAGAGCGCGAGCGGAGCGCCGGCGCUGCGCAGUGGGCUUCGGACUUCGGAGCGUGCCAGGCUUGCCUGCGAAGAGCCCCAGCGCUGUGCGGCGGGGGAUCGGACGCGGGGCUGCCCGAGCCUUGCAUGUCAACAGGGAGCAGAGCGCAGAACUUGCGCUGCUGCGGGUAGGAAGCCAUGGGGUCGGUGAGUCCCACCAGCCCGGUGUUUGCUAUGGUCAAUGUGAGCAGCAGCAAGGACCCGGACAGUUCCAGCCUGUCGCAAGACGUCUGGAUGGUGGGCAUGGGCAUCCUGAUGUCUGUGAUCGUGCUGGUCAUCGUCUUUGGCAACGUCCUGGUGAUCACCGCCAUUGCCAAGUUCCAGCGGCUGCAGACCGUCACCAACUACUUCAUCACCUCCCUGGCGUGCGCCGACCUGGUGAUGGGGCUGGCUGUGGUCCCCUUUGGGGCCAGCCACAUCAUGCUGAAGCAGUGGAAGUUUGGGAACUUUUGGUGCGAGUUCUGGACCUCCUUAGACGUGCUGUGCGUCACGGCCAGCAUCGAGACCCUCUGCGUCAUUGCCGUGGACAGGUAUUUCGCCAUCACCUCCCCCUUCAAGUAUCAGAGCCUGCUGACCAAAAGCAAAGCCAGGAUUGUCAUCCUCGUGGUCUGGGUGGUGUCUGUUUUGACCUCCUUCUUGCCUAUCCAGAUGCACUGGUACAGAGCAGCGCGCCCGGAAGCCCAAAAUUGUUACAAAAACGACACUUGCUGUGACUUCUUCACCAACCAGGCCUAUGCCAUCACUUCUUCCAUCAUCUCCUUCUACUUGCCUUUGGUGGUCAUGGUCUUCGUCUAUGCCAGGGUCUUCCAGGUAGCUAAGCAGCAGCUGAAGAAGAUAGACAAAUGUGAAAGGAGGUUUCAUAACCAGAACAACAACCAGCAGGAGCAGAACGGGAGAGCAAGUCACAGGAGAACCUCUAAAUUUUGCUUGAAGGAGCACAAAGCCCUGAAAACCUUGGGGAUCAUCAUGGGCACUUUCACUUUGUGCUGGCUGCCCUUCUUCAUAGUCAACAUCGUGCACGUAAUACAGGACAACAUUAUCCCCCCUUACCUGUACAUCCUCCUGAACUGGUUGGGAUACAUCAACUCCGGCUUCAACCCCCUUAUUUACUGCAGAAGCCCGGACUUCAGGUAUGCUUUCCAGGAGCUCCUGUGCCUCCGGCGAUCUGCCCUGAAGAUGCACGCCAAUGGAUAUUCCAACAGCAACGGGAAAAGUGACUUCAACGAGGAGGACUAUGGAUAUCAGUUGGGACAAGACAAAACGUGUGAAUUACUGUGUGAAGGAGCGGGGCCACCUGUCCGUGAGGACUUAGUGCAUUGUAAAGAGAUCCCUGGGUGUCCUGGAAUGGUUGAAAGUUGAAUGGGCUGAAGUGUCUUCCUCACCACACUGAGCUCACAAGGGCUCUGGAGAGAGAAAGCAGGAGCACAGCCGUGCUUCUGUGAGACUGGUGAAACCAUGGGAAACUACUGCUUUGGCAACUGCCUUCAUCUCAGUCCAUCACCCAUAGCAAGUCACCGGAAGGAGAAGCUGAUGAAGGAGUGGCAGCGAACCAGGCAAGGAUCCAUCAGUGCAUCAAGCAUCUGGGGGGAUGUAAGAGCAGGAUCUGCCCUGAAAGAGCCACAUCCUAGGAACCAUCCAUGUGAAAUCGGAUCCACUCUGGGAAGGUGACAGCAUGGCCCAACAGCACAGCACGGAAUGAGCUGAGUUUCCACGCAGAAGAAAAAAGACAUCUAGGGGUUUCCCUGUCACAUCAACUUCGGAAACUUCGUUUCAAAAGGCAAGAAAGCUCUAGAGCUGCCCUGUCCUCUCCAUUGGCCAAUUCAUGGAAAAGAAGCCAAGCUCACUGCCUCCUGGCCUGGCCAAGGGAUUGCUAGGAACAUGGUCACGGGUUUUUUGUCCACAUGCUGGCAGUGGGGUUCAGAUGAAACAGGAACCUUUUAAAGACUAGAAAGACAAGGAACGCUGAAGUUUGCUUUUAUUUACUCUGUGUUAGCUUCUACCCAUGGCAUCUUCUCUGUCUCUUCCUCUGUAUAGACAAAUAAAUACCCAAUACACUGCUUGGUCCUACUCAGGUAGAAGAGGAACAUUAACAUGGGCCAAAUCUGAGGUCCUUACUUAGACAACACUCCCACAGACCCCCAAGGUGCUGCCUUCAAUGACUAUAAGGUGCUAGGAUUUGACCCCAUGUUUUUGCAAUGAGCAAGAGUUGGAAGAGAUCUGCUUCACCUUUUGCUUUUCAGCCCUGAUAGUCAAACAGCACCAGCCACACCCUUGGAGCUUGGUUUUCAGACCUGAGCCCCAAAUGUCAUACAAGGCUCAAAUCCCUCUUUCGGGUAUUGAAAUCAGAGCACAGGCAAGUCAAUCCUGGUUGAAAACUGAGCUCCCUGGGUUAUUAAAUAUACAAAAAGGUUCAAAAUGAAAAGCCCUAGUUUGGUUAUUAAGGACUUGAUCCAGUGAGAUUCAGAGGCUGCCUAGCACUGUCCACAAGACGCUCAACUCCCACUGGCACCCAGGGGAGUUUGCUGACCAACACCUCCCAGGAGCUCAGCAUCUCAAAAGAUCAGGAGGCCCUUCAUCUCUUUACCCAUGUUGCAAAGAAAGAGGCAGAGAGCUAGAGGUACAUGCAGCAAACCACUGGAAAAACAAAUUCAAACAGUAGGAAAGCUGUGAUGUUCUUGCAAUUUCUGAUGGCAGAAGAAUAGUCUUGUAUGCCAAGCACCUGGCUCAGCUGAGUGAGUGCAGGAUUCUGCUUAUCAGCCCUCUGAGUUCUAAACACCAGCUGCGGUAACGGAAAUUCUGAGCUUUGCACACAGCCCUGUUUUGACAUGAACUGCGCAAACAGGCCAGGCUUCCACUUGGAAAACCUGUAACACAAAAACGAGACUGUGGAGUGUUGUAGAGCAGCUUCCUAACCUGUGUCUGCAAGUGGGAACCACCAACAACUCUUGUAAUGCCGUAAGCAGGCCUUCAGCUCUAGCAAAAUAAAAGCAAGCCAUUUCACUGGGGUUGCCUGACGUUUAGAAAAAAAGAGGCUGCAGUCUGACCUUCUUUAUCUGCUAUGCAGGAUGUGAAGGGUACAGUGUGUGUGUGUGUGUUUGUGUGAGAGAGAGAGAGAGAGACAGAGAGAGAGAAACACGUCUGUAUGCUAAUUAGACUCUCGCUGAUACUUUAUAUUCUUAAUACUGUUUUCUCAACACUGCCAUCUACAACAGAAUCAAAUUUGUUUUAUAUACAGUUGCCUUGUAAGCGCCUGGUGGCCAGGUUCUCAGCUGCUGUCAGUUGGCAUAUUUCCACUGAAGAGAAGCUACGUAAGUUGGCAGCAUCUGAUGAUCUGGCUCAGUAUCUCCAAAGUACCCUACGCUACCAUACAGUAUAGUACAGCCAGUUAGAUGCUGGCUGCCAAGUGACUCUAUAGGCAAAUGGGGUAGCCAUUCUCUUCUCCUCAACAGCUCACCCUCAGCCUAGGCCAUUCAAAUCUGUGUGACUGAUUAGGCCAUGAAUCUCACCUCUUUAUGCCUUAGCACACUUUCCCGUGAGUUUUUAUGCUGGAGAGAGAACUCUAGGCCUGACUUUGUUAACGUCUGAGGACUGCAGGGUUUUUAGCUGCGAAAGCUUAUACCCAAAUAAAUCUGUUAGUCUUUAAGGUGCCACUAGACUCCUUGUUGUUUUUGUGGAUACAGACUAACACAGCUACCUCCUGAUACUUGGCAGGAAAUGUAACCAAAAUGGACACAAUCUCCCUGGUAGCUCACAAACACCCCCUCAAAGUAAGCUAUGAUCUAUAUACUGCCAAUUGCUUCCUCAAAGAGUCAGAGGCAAAGGAAGAAAUCUUAGACACUAUCCAGUCCAUCUACCGAGGCCCUACAGGUUUGUUCUCUAUGUUACAUUUGCUAGUGUCUUGUCAAGUCGAUUUUUAAAUGCCUCAGCCAAUGAGUCUUUCACCACUUCCCUUGGGAGCCAAGGUCAGGAAGCUUCUACUAAUAUCACACUACACCUAGUCAUGCCUUUCAAGUCCAUGUCACUCAUCAUCAUGUCUAAGGGAAGAUGUCCUUUUCCAAGCUCUGCCUCUUUAGCUCUUUUCAUCUUUUCUCGCAGCUCAGUGUCUCCAGCUCCCUGAUUGUUGCUAUUCUCUAAACUCCUAAUUUGACAAACAAAUAGGCUGAUUCAAUUUUGACUCUGGCUGUGAGUAGUUUGUGACAGAUCCUUUUUCAAAGUAGCUCAGGCAGCAGUGCCUGAAGCACAAGCCGUGCACUGACAGCUCCCCUGUAGCAUGCGUGAGGUUCACCUUGCCCUCACCACCCUGGAAGACUGAACACAGGUUUCACAAUGAGGGGUCAUGUCAUAUGACACAGAAUAUGGAUCAAGUUCUGUGACAAGUAAUAGUUUAUCCAGGAGGGGCCUAAAUCCUGCUGAAGACAGGAUAGGACCAAGUCUCCAUCCCAAACAAAACCAGCUCCCACAAAUUCAGAUUGGGUAGUGGAGGCACGCAGCACCAUUUAGCAGCUCGUGUGACUGUAUUGACCCAUGGCUCUUGGGAAGAGAGUUUUAUAAGAUCAGUUGUGGGCAUACGGGCACAGUUUAUUCUGGUGCCACCUUGGCUGAUACCACAGUUCAUGAUGAGAGUGCCAUUGUACACUGCUCAACUCACAGAAGCACAUGCGCCUUGUAGGCAUGCAGAAUAAAGCUGCAUGUAAUCAUAGUGAAUGCACGUGGCAGGCUUGCAUAGGGAGUCUGUGUACGCCACGUUUGUUCUGAGUGCUAUUGUGAA